GUAAUGAAGCACUUUGGAGACAAGGAGUAUGUGCUCUGCAAGGCAAGAGAAAGAGCUGUUUUCCAGUGGCCUCCCAGGCCAGGAGUUGCACAGCUUUUGGACGCGUGCUGGCCUUGUGCAGCCCGCCAGGGAGAUGGGCUGCGCAAAGCCUCCUGAUGGUCUGGUGGAGAAGAACAGCUACAGGAGAGGAGCAGGCUUGGAAUGACUGCUGAUUGCGACAGGUGAAAGUCAUGAAUACAGAGGGACUCGGAGGAAAAUUGCCUUGCAAUCUGCCAUCCACCCUGGAAGCCAGGAGGGAGAUGGUGCUGUGCCAGCAUGCCCUCCGUGCGUACUACUUAAAGGCAGAGAGAAGCUGGACUCUCCCAAGGCUCAGUGCUGAGCUUUAGCACGUUUCAAAACCCAGCUCUUUAAGCAAACGAGCGAGCAUCCUGGAGGCAGCACCGGGUCCACAGCAGGGGCUGGGCAGCAGGAGACCAUCACCUGGCAGUCAGCAGGUUGAGGCAGCGCUGGAGAGAGCCGCUUGGCAAGGGCAGGUGGACCAGACAGCAGGGCAGUGGCACCAUGUGCUGCGCGGCUUGGCAUUAAUGAGACAUCUAUUGGAAUUCUGCAUGUUCCUUAAAGGCCUUCUGGGCGGAAAAUCGUUACGUUUACCCUGAUCCUUCACAAGUGAAAAACCAAACCGGGAUCUUCCCUGCUGGACUGAUUUGUGGGCUUCCUAGGAGGCCUUUGGAGCUGUGCAAGUCACGUUGCUUUCAGGAUGGAGGUGCUGAGAGAUAGACAGCUACUGCAAGCGAUGCCCAAACCGGAGAGCCUUGUGCACGGAGGGGGGAUGGAGACACAGUGAGGGGACCCACAUGGCUGCUGCCUUCAGACUGUGGGAAAGAAUCGAGGUACCAUCAGCAUGAAGGCCGUUGCUGACCGAAGCCCGCUCGCUGCUUGUCUCUCGCUGGUUCCAUGCUCCGUCCCCACAGCACCCUCAGCCUCACAGAGUGCCGCUUCUGAGCGCCCUCAGGGAGUGAGGGUGGGGAGAGAACACCACCAACCCACAGCGUUUGUCCCUACCUGUGGAGGAAGUGCAGUGUGCCUACCUCAUGGCAGAACACGGAGGGGCUGUGGCACGAGCAGUGAAGAGGCAGAACAAGACUGGUCCUCUGUUGCCCGAGUGUCACUGCACCGUAGCUGCCUAGUCUCAGAGGCUGCCAUUACCUGCUGGGGGCAAGGAGGGACAGUGCACGCAUCUCCUUGGCAGGCAGACAGCAGCAAGGUUGCUGGCUCAGGGUGGUGUUUGUCCCUGUGCCUGGGGCGAGAGACCCCAUCUCUGUGUGUUUGCAAAGUAAGAGGGAAAGGAGGAUCUUCUGUGUUCCCUUUCUGCAGCACAAGAAAUCAAUGUCAGGGAUGGGAAUAA
rnacentral:lncRNA from 1 species